AUUGAACGCUGGCGGCAGGCCUAACACAUGCAAGUCGAGCGGGGUUUUCGGACCUAGCGGCGGACGGGUGAGUAAUGCGUAGGAAGCUGCCCGAUAGAGGGGGAUACCAGUUGGAAACGACUGUUAAUACCGCAUAAUGUCUACGGACCAAAGUGUGGGACCUUCGGGCCACAUGCUAUCGGAUGCGCCUACGUGGGAUUAGCUAUGUUGGUGAGGCAAUGGCUCACCAAGGCGACGAUCUCUAGCUGGUUUGAGAGGAUGAUCAGCCAAACUGGACGUGGAACACGGUCCAGGCUCCUACGGGAGGCAGCAGUGGGGAAUAUUGGACAAUGGGCGCAAGCCUGAUCCAGCCAUGCCGCGUGUGUGAGGAAGGCCUUCGGGUUGUAAAGCACUUUCAGCGAGGAGGAAGGGUGGUGUGUUAAUAGCACAUCAUUUUGACGUUACUCGCAGAAGAAGCACCGGCUAACUCUGUGCCAGCAGCCGCCGUAA
rnacentral:rRNA from 1 species